UACGUAGGGUGCAAGCGUUGUCCGGAAUUAUUGGGCGUAAAGAGCUCGUAGGCGGUUUGUUGCGUCGGCUGUGAAAUCCCGAGGCUCAACCUCGGGUCUGCAGUCGAUACGAGCAAACUAGAGUGUUGGCAGGGGAGACUGGAAUUCCUGGUGUAGCGGUGAAAUGCGCAGAUAUCAGGAGGAACACCGGUGGCGAAGGCGGGUCUCUGGGCAACAACGUGA
rnacentral:rRNA from 1 species